GAUGAAGAACGCAGUGAAAUGCGAUAAGUAGUGUGAAUUGCAGAUUUCAGUGAAUCAUCGAAUCUUUGAACGCACAUUGCGCCCCUUGGUAUUCCAUGGGGCAUGCCUGUUCGAGCGUCAUUUGUACCCUCAAGCUUUGCUUGGUGUUGGGUGUUUGUCCCGCGUUGCGCGUGGACUCGCCUUAAAGCGAUUGGCAGCCGGCAUAUUGGCCUUGGAGCGCAGCACAUUUUGCGCUUCUAGUCAUGAAUGUUGGCGUCCAUUAAGCCUAUACAUUUGCUCUUGACCUCGGAUCAGGUAGGGAUACCCGCUGAACUUAAGCAUAUCAAUAAGCGGAGGA
rnacentral:misc_RNA from 1 species